GAUGAAGAACGUAGCGAAAUGCGAUAAGUAAUGUGAAUUGCAGAAUUCAGUGAAUCAUCGAAUCUUUGAACGCACCUUGCGCCCUUUGGCCAUUCCGAAGGGCAUGCCUGUUUGAAUAUCAUGAACACCUCAACUCUUUAUGGUUUUCCAUGAUGAGCUUGGACUCUGGGGGUUUUGCUGGCUCACAGUCGGCUCCUCUAAAAUGAAUCAGCUUACCAGUGUUUGGUGGGUAUCAUGGGUGUGAUAACUAUCUACGCUUGUGGUUUUUCCACCAGGUAACCUUCAGCAGUGGAGGUUCGCUGGAGCUCAUAGAUGUCUCUCCUCAGUGAGGACAGCCCUUUGAAUGUUUGAUCUCAAAUCAGGUAGGACUACCCGCUGAACUUAAGCAUAUCAAUAAGCGGAGGA
rnacentral:misc_RNA from 1 species